CUCCAGCACAGUCUGCAGACGUCAUGUUGUAUGACAACCGGAGUGAGUUCAUUUCAAGGAUUAUAUCAUCAACUUUGAUAUUUUCAUGAACAGCCCUCAAAAAGGUUGCUUCAACCUCCUUCUCAAAGGUGUCAUCUCUAGAGUCAUCAUCACCUUCAGAAUCAUUACUGUUAUAGUCAGGUUUCAACUCUCCAGAAGGUGAUAGAGCACUUCCAUCUAGAUUCAACAAUUCCAAAUCAUCUUCUAUAGCUUGCAUAGCCUCCGCAAGUUUCUCA
rnacentral:misc_RNA from 1 species